AUGAUUUCCCAAUUCUCCACCAGACCCUACGAUCCGCAGCCGCCCAAACCCUACGAUCCCCCGUGCAAGACCAUGGUGAACGGGACGUCGUGCAAGCGCGGCCUUGCCGCCGUCGCCGCCCUCCCGGACGAGCUCUUCCAAUGGGAGAUCCUCGUCCGCCUGCCGGCCAAGGAGCUCCUCCGCUGCCGCUUGGUCUGCCGCUCCUGGUGCCGUCUGGCCUCCGACGCCCGCCACCGCCGCCAGCCGUCGCUCCCGCUGGUCUUCUUCCGUACCAAGGGCAAUGAGUACACCGCCCACGCCGCGGUCGAUGCCCUGGACAUCCGGCGAACCCCCGCCGCGCGCCGGCCCGUCCUAGACUACAACUACUCUCGCCGUAACUUCACCUUGCACGCCUCCUGCGACGGCCUCAUCCUCAUAUCUUACUCCAACCACCGCUUCUACCUCUGCAAUCCAGCCACGCGUCAGUGGUGCACGCUACCGGAUCUGACCGGCGGCAAUGUCGUCGCCCUGUACCCUCACCACCCGUCCGGCGAGUACCGCAUCCUCUACUGGAGGCGCCCAAACAACAGCGACGACAAUGUUGUCUACUACUACGUCCUCACCGUGGGGAAAAAAGAGAGAUGUAUCGGUCUGCCGGUGGCCUCGUCGUCUAUAAAGAAGGACAGGUCAUGCUGGCAUCUUCAUGCCUGCCACCACCCGCCUGUCCUGCUACAUGACUGCCUGCACUGGUACACUGUCAACGCCUUUGACGGCGAGAUCAUAAUUUUUGAUACACUGGCUGAAUCAUUCAGGUGGAUCCAAUGUCCCACAGCCUGCAGCUCAGCACAACUGCUGCAGAUGGAUGGUACACUCGGCAUCGGCCAGAUAGAUGUCGGUACCAUGACCGUAAAAGCAUGGGUGUUGCAGGACUACAAGGUGGAGGUAUGGUCAUCAAAGUACUCGACUCAAUUGCCGGAGAGUCAGAUGCGGAGUUACCAGAUGCUGAGAUAUGAUAACUACGUCGAGUGCCUAUACGGCAAGGUUGUGUCUGAGAAUGGAGAUAUGCUGCUGAUCAGUCGCAAUCGUUGGUCCCAGACACUAUUUCACUGUGACAGCAAGGGCGAGCUGAUUGAUAAAUUCGUAUGGAGCUACAUUGAUCCAAAGGUUCUUGGGCUCUGCUUCAAACAAAGCCUAGUCAGGCAUGUGUUCUUCGAGAGGAAAGAUGGCAAGUGUGUGAGGCUGCCACGUUUUCUUCAAGGGCUCUAG
rnacentral:rRNA from 1 species